CACACAUACACAUAAACAAAACCUAGGAGAUUCAGGGAAGUUUUUGUCACCAUUAUUUGUUUAAGUUUUCCAAUGAUAGUUUAAAAAAUUUGUUAAGCAUGAUGAUUAACUUUUCACAAUAAUGCAAUAAUGUGUGAGCUAUGCCUCUCUCAAACCUUAUUAUGAUGUUGGCCCAUUACCCAUCUGAUGUGAAGAAAAAAACUGUCAUUGCGUGCUUCAGUAAAUAAAAAGAGAAUUUGUGGAAUUGUUGACAGUUACAAAAAAAAAAAAAAACCUGGUAAUUCUUUGGGGCAGUGUUGAGCAAAUAAGUUCCUAAGAACACUAAUUCCAUAAGAUAUUCUGGCGAAAAAAGACAGAGAGAGGGUCUAUAAUCAAAUAACUUCAGGAAAUACUGUAUGCACUGGUCCCCUCUGAAGAAUUACAACGUGUAGUAGCAUAUUUCAGUGUUGUAAAAAGUCCUGCUGUAAAGAAUAUGGUUAAUUUAUUUUUAAUCCAGUACUUCUCAAACGUAUUUAAAUAUGAAUCCUUCCCCCUUUAUGUAAUACCUAUUAACAUCUAUUUCCCAGAACAUUUUUGGAAAUGCUGGGUUUCAGAGAUAAAGGCUUCCAGAGGAAGGAAUUUUCUGGCUCACAGUGAAGGCAACAAAUAGGAAAAAUACUGGAAAGAGAGACAAUAAG
rnacentral:lncRNA from 10 species